CGCAUGUGCGGGCGUGCUAUACAUGCAGUCGAACGCACUCUCGUUUAGAUUGAAGGAGCUUGCUCCUGAUUGAUAAACAUUUGAGUGAGUGGCGGACGGGUGAGUAACACGUGGGUAACCUGCCCUAAAGUGGGGGAUAACAUUUGGAAACAGAUGCUAAUACCGCAUAAAACCUAACACCGCAUGGUGUAGGGUUGAAAGAUGGUUUCGGCUAUCACUUUAGGAUGGACCCGCGGUGCAUUAGUUAGUUGGUGAGGUAAAGGCUCACCAAGACCGUGAUGCAUAGCCGACCUGAGAGGGUAAUCGGCCACACUGGGACUGAGACACGGCCCAGACUCCUACGGGAGGCAGCAGUAGGGAAUCUUCCACAAUGGACGAAAGUCUGAUGGAGCAACGCCGCGUGAGUGAAGAAGGUUUUCGGAUCGUAAAACUCUGUUGUUGGAGAAGAAUGUAUCUGAUAGUAACUGAUCAGGUAGUGACGGUAUCCAACCAGAAAGCCACGGCUAACUACGUGCCAGCAGCCGCGGUAAUACGUAGGUGGCAAGCGUUGUCCGGAUUUAUUGGGCGUAAAGCGAGCGCAGGCGGUUUCUUAAGUCUGAUGUGAAAGCCUUCGGCUCAACCGAAGAAGUGCAUCGGAAACUGGGAAACUUGAGUGCAGAAGAGGACAGUGGAACUCCAUGUGUAGCGGUGAAAUGCGUAGAUAUAUGGAAGAACACCAGUGGCGAAGGCGGCUGUCUGGUCUGUAACUGACGCUGAGGCUCGAAAGCAUGGGUAGCAAACAGGAUUAGAUACCCUGGUAGUCCAUGCCGUAAACGAUGAGUGCUAGGUGUUGGAGGGUUUCCGCCCUUCAGUGCCGCAGCUAACGCAUUAAGCACUCCGCCUGGGGAGUACGACCGCAAGGUUGAAACUCAAAGGAAUUGACGGGGGCCCGCACAAGCGGUGGAGCAUGUGGUUUAAUUCGAAGCACGCGAAGAACCUUACCAGGUCUUGACAUCCUUUGACCACUCUAGAGAUAGAGCUUUCCCUUCGGGGACAAAGUGACAGGUGGUGCAUGGUUGUCGUCAGCUCGUGUCGUGAGAUGUUGGGUUAAGUCCCGCA
rnacentral:rRNA from 1 species